UUUUCCUUUUGCCCUUAGCCUCCGUCGUUUCCUCUCCUCUUUUGUGAUUUCGAAGCCGCCCUCACGCGACUUCGAAGCCGCUGGCCCUACUUCGGACUCUUCCGUCUUCCCCUCCACACCGUGUGCCGACGCAGAAGACGCCGACCACAUUCCCAUCGUCAUCGACCGCACGAGCCCUCUGCUACCUCCCUCGGCCGACAUGGGGUCUUCGCCCAACCCCUUCUUUAUUCAUCAUCGUCUUGGUGACCUAAGCAGGGCACUGCCCCGGCCGCCGCCAAGGACUUGAGAUCCUUGGCAGUCUUCUGACAGAGACCCGACCCUUGCCCUCAACGCAGUCGAUGUCCGCACGCCCUGCCCUCAACGUAGCCGAAUUGGGUCACUUAUUAAUAACGGAUUGGAUCUUCCUGGUCCCUUUGAUUCCUCUACGAGAGUUGGUUAAGGAUUUGAGUUCGAAGCAAACCCUCUAACUAGAUGGUUUGGACACUCUACAUUUUCUACAUUUGAGAUGGUAUCAACUUGAAAUAUGAGAAUAAUCUUUAAGCUCAAUCACAAUUCAAGAUUUAGCAGCAUUUUGAAGAAGAUGGUGUUUCAACAUUGCUCUAAAAGGUGAUAUUAGUAAUUCUUAAUUUAAUAUUCUCCUCUAUUGUAAUAUUAUUUUAAUGGUGAUUGUCUGAGGUUAUUGAAAUUUAUUAUGUCAAUACAAGUAGAAUCUUUUUGAGUUUCUGAGAUUAUCUGUUUAAAUAAAAAUCUUCUCUUCCUAUUAGCUAAUUCUGUUGCUUGCUAGUGAUUAUGCUUAUCUACUAUUUGCUUUACUCUCACAUGUGAGAGUCAGUUCUUUUCUUACAUGUUUGUUUAUAUCAUAUAUUUAAGUUUAUUUUAUUUAUAACAAGUACUCUCUUUUUCCUUGUGUUUAAGAAAGUGAAAGUGAGGAUGAUGGUCUUGACAUGGGUGAUUAUGAUGAUGUUGAGGAACCUGAAAAUGAACCAGAGGCUGUUAGGAAAGAACCAACCAUUGAGAAACCUGCUCCUGUUUCAGCACUACCCAAAGAUGCUGAAAGGCAACUGUCAAAGAAGGAGCUUAAGAAAAAGGAAAUGGCAGAGCUAGAUGCACUUCUAUAUGAAAUGGGCAUUGCAAAUUUUAAUUAGUUUAUUUUUGAUAGAUAGUAAAUUUUAAUUCACUUAUGUUGCUUCAUACAUAUGAAGCGACUGUUUAAUGUGUGUUGAAUUUGUUUAUCCUUGUUAUGUAGACAAGAAGCUAUUGGAGCAAAGUAGUGAAGGGGAGAAGAAAGAAAGUGAUAGUGCUCCUUCAGAGAACAGAAUCUUAAAGAAGAAGAAAUCCAAGAAAGAAAAAUCAUCAAAGGAACAGGAGGAGCAUGAUCAAAAUCAGGAGAAAGGAGACAUUGAAGCUGAAGUGACAGAUGCAUUUGCAGUUGACGUAAAGGAAAGGAUAAAGAAGGUGGCCUACCAUGAUGUAGAAGAAAUCAAGCAAAGAGAUGGAUGCCGAACAGUUGAAUAAAAGGACUUCUUACUUAAGUAGUAGGCUAAUUGGUACCUCAACUAGUCAAUUGGUGGAUACGGACUUGAUGUGUAUAAUAUUUAUGUGGAUACGGACUUGAUGUGUAUAAUAUUUAUGUGUUGGUUACAUGGAUAUUGACUUGUCUGUAUAAUAUCAGUUUUUCACUAUUUCAGAAA